CCUACGGGAGGCUGCCGUGGGGGAUAUUGCACAAUGGGGGGAACCCUGAUGCAGCGAAGUCGCGUGGGGGAAGAAGGGCCUCGGCGCGUAAAGCCCUGUUAGCAGGGAAGAAAAUGACGGUACGUGAAGAAGAAGCCACGGCUAACUAAGGGCCAGCAGCCGCGGGAACACGGAGGGGGCAAGCGUUAUCCGGAUUUACUGGGUGUAAAGGGGGCGUAGACGGCGCUGCAAGCGAGGAGGGAAAGCCCGGGGUCCAACCCCCGGACUGCUCUUGGAACUGCGUGGCUGGAGUGCAGGAGGGGCAGGCGGAAUGCCUGGUGUAGCGGUGAAAUGCGUAGAUAUCAGGAAGAACACCGAUGGCGAAGGCAGCCUGCUGGACUGCAACUGACGUUGAGGCCCGAAAGCGUGGGGAGCGAACAGGAUUAGAUACCCCUGUAGUC
rnacentral:rRNA from 1 species